AGCAGCCGCGGUAAUUCCAGCUCCAAUAGCGUAUAUUAAAGUUGUUGCAGUUAAAAGGCUCGUAGUUGAACUUCGGGGUUCACCCAUUGGUCAGGCUUAAUUGUCUGUACUGGUGAGAUGAGUCUCUACCUUCUGAGGAACUUUCAUGCCAUUUGUUUGGUGUGAUUGGAAAUCAGGACUGUUACUUUGAAAAAUUAGAGUGUUUAAAGCAGGCUAACGUCUGAAUACAUUAGCAUGGAAUAAUGAAAUAGGACGGAUUGAUUCUAUUUCGUUGGUUUCUAGGGUCACCGUAAUGAUUAAUAGGGAUAGUUGGGGGCAUUAGUAUUCAAUUGUCAGAGGUGAAAUUCUUGGAUUUAUUGAAGACUAACUACUGCGAAAGCAUUUGCCAAGGAUGUUUUCAUUAAUCAAGAACGAAAGUUAGAGGAUCGAAGACGAUCAGAUACCGUCGUAGUCUUAACCAUAAACUAUGCCGACUAGGGAUCGGACGCAGUUAAUUUAUAAUGACGUGUUC
rnacentral:rRNA from 1 species